rnacentral:rRNA from 1 species
GAUGAACGCUGGCGGCGUGCCUAAUACAUGCAAGUCGAGCGAACAGACGAUGAGCUUGCGCCUCUGACGUUAGCGGCGGACGGGUGAGUAACACGUGUAUAACCUACUUAUAAGUCUGGGAUAACUUCGGGAAACCGGAGCUAAUACCAGAUAAUAUAUUGAACCGCAUGGUGCAAUAGUGAAAUACGGUUUUGCUGUCACUUAUAGAGGGAUCCGCGCCGCAUUGGCUAGUUGGUAGGGUAACGGCUUACCAAGGCAACGAUGCGUAGCCGACCUGACAGGGUGAUCGCCCACAUUGGAGCUGAGACGCGGUCCAGACUCCUACGGGAGGCAGCAGUAGGGAAUGGUAGGCAAUGGGGGGAAGCCUGACGGAGCGACGCCGCGUGAGUGAUGAAGGUCCUCGGAUCGUAAAACUCUGUUAUGAGGGAAGAACAAAUUUGUAAGUAACUAUGCCCGUCUUGACGGUAACUAAUCAGAAAGCAACGGCUAACUACGUG